UUUCCGGGAGACACCGAGGGAGACAGUAGAGGCCGCUCCUCCCUGCUGCGCGGCACCCCCACCCCCCCGCAGGGGUGGAUGGGCACCUCGGAGGCAAGCCAGGGGCUGGUGGGGGCCGGAACAGUGGCGGGAUUUCUGCAGGUGUGACCGGGGUUUCUAAUCAGGUGACUUGGCGUUCAUCAGAAGGGAGGUUGAUCUGGCCGAGCCUGGCUAGCUCAGGUGCACCCUUUAAGAGGCUGGAAGCCACAGAGCCGCCCCCUCCUGAUGCCAAAGAAGCAUAUGGCCAUCGGCUCCACAGCUGCGAGAAAGAUUAUGCACACAACGACAUGCGCUCAGGAGGGGACCUCGCGCCUCGGUUGAGAUCCCAGCCCUGGCUGACACCUUGAGUGCAGCCUGUGAGACCCUGAGCAGAGGUUCAGCAGUCCCCUCCCCGGACUCCUGCCACACAGAAGCCAUGAGCUGACAGAACCAAGGACACACACCUUGUUAACGACGCCCUCAAGGCUGUGAGGAGAAAGACAACCGGGUGAAGCAACGCUGGGAAUUCAACGCAUC
rnacentral:lncRNA from 1 species